UAUGUGAUCGUCUCUCGCAUAUCAAUAAGCGGAGGAAAAGAAACUAACAAGGAUUCCCCUAGUAACGGCGAGUGAAGCGGGAAGAGCUCAAAUUUGAAAUCUUAAAGGGUUUCCCUUUACGAAUUGUAGUUUAAAGAAGUGUUUUCUGUCGAGGUUUUGGUAAAAGUUCUUUGGAAUAGGACAUCAUAGAGGGUGAGAAUCCCGUAUUUGACCUUUACUUUCAACUUUGUGAUACACUUUCAAAGAGUCGGAUUGUUUGGGAAUGCAGUCCAAAAUGGGUGGUAAAUUUCAUCUAAAGCUAAAUAUUGGCGAGAGACCGAUAGCGAACAAGUACCGUGAGGGAAAGAUGAAAAGAACUUUGAAAAGAGAGUUAAACAGUACGUGAAAUUGUCAAAAGGGAAGCGUUUGACACCAGUGUUGUUUUUCUGAAAAUCAAUUAAAGAACUGUUUAUGCUAAGCUGUUUAGACUUCAUCAGCUAUCUGUUUAGUUUUGAGCUUUUCUUUAAUGCACUUUUCAGUUAACAAGUCAACAUCAAUUUCUUUUGCUGUAAAAAAGCUUGAGGAAGGUGGCUUGAGAUUCGUCUUAAGUGUUUAUAGCCUCUUGCCUAUGCAGUCGGAGAGAUUGAGGUCUGCAGCGUAGAUCCUUCGGGGCUAAAUGCAUUUGUGCUAAGUUAUAGCAUUUUAUAGACAACUUGUUGACUAUGAUUUGUCUUGUAGCUUACUCGCUUAUGUUAUUUUACCUACGCUUAGGAUGUUGAAGAUAUGCGCGACACG
rnacentral:rRNA from 1 species